rnacentral:rRNA from 1 species
UACAGAGGCUGCAAGCGUUAUUCGGAAUCACUGGGCUUAAAGGGCGCGUAGGCGGCUUCAUAAGUCAGGGGUGAAAUCCGGCAGCUUAACUGUCGCAGUGCCUUUGAUACUGUGGAGCUCGAGGGAGGUAGGGGUCUGUGGAACUUCCGGUGGAGCGGUGAAAUGCGUUGAUAUCGGAAGGAACGCCGGUGGCGAAAGCGACGGACUGGAUCUCUUCUGACGCUGAGGCGCGAAAGCCAGGGGAGCAAACGGG